rnacentral:rRNA from 1 species
AUACGGAGGGUACAAGCGUUAUCCGGAAUCAUUGGGUUUAAAGGGUCCGUAGGCGGGCAAUUAAGUCAGAGGUGAAAUCCCACAGCUCAACUGUGGAACUGCCUUUGAUACUGGUUGUCUUGAAUUAUAGUGAAGUAGAUAGAAUAUGUAGUGUAGCGGUGAAAUGCAUAGAUAUUACAUAGAAUACCGAUUGCGAAGGCAGUCUACUAACUAUAUAUUGACGCUGAUGGACGAAACCGUGGGGAGCGAACAGGAUUAGAAACCCUAGUAGUCC